UGUAAAUUUGUUGACGCCUACUGUGUGUAGAUCUCAAAUUGAAUGUAUAGAUAUCUUGAUUAAGAAUUGCAUCCGGCCAGGAAACGUCAUCUCUUCCGGGACUGGCAUCCUGUUUGGGAUUCAAAAUCUGUAUGGAAGAACCAGUAUUUUAACUGGAGCCAGCAUCCUGUCUGGAACCGUCGAUUUGAAUAAGAUUGACAUCUCGACUAGAGCCAAUAUUUCGACUGGGAAUGGAAUUUUGUCUGGAGCCAUCGACCUGAUUGAAACCAUUAUUUUGACUGGAGCCAGUAUCUUGCCUGAAACUAUCGUCCCGCCUAAAACUGAUAUUCUGAUAUGAGUUGAAGUUCCGAUUUAAGUUAACAGGAUGAUUAAAAGUAGAAACUGCAUUUUUAGAA